ACGGCAUUAUUUUUCGCCACAAGGAAGGGCAACGGUAGACGAGGGAGGGGGAAGCGGGGAAAGGAUGACUCCUAAACCCUACGCCCUGGCAUGGAAAGAAGACGAUUUCCCCCUAAACCCUUUGUUCUGCUCUAACUUCUUGAAUAGAGGAGACGAGGAAUGGUUUCUCUUGACUUCACAUCAACCGCUAGGUUUUGAGACAUCACAUUAAAGAAUAAUUUUGUAGCGGUUUGAGUUUUUUCCAUGUGUUCCUCGAUUAGUGAGAUUCUUGAAGAUACAGAUAAAGGAAAAAGCUGGAUGAGCUAGAGGAGCAGCAGGAGGGGCAAGGAGAUGUGUGUGGC